UGAACAUAUUGCCAGAGGAAAUCGUAUCAAAGUUAAGCAGAUUGAGGCUGUCGCAGCCUCCCAGUAAGAGGCACACAGUAUAGAUCUUCUGCUGUAAAUAUUUUUGUAAUUCUCAUUAUGCGUACACGUGUCUGUCCUCCUUACUGUUUUUCAGGUUUUCAAUGUGACCUUGAAGACCAUGGCAGGUCCUCGUAGUCCGCCUCGUUAGGGAGGUUCUCUUUGUCGUCGUCGCACUCGAUCAUCACCGUGGGAACGGCGUGCAUCAUGGAGCUGCGGUUUUAGAAUGAAAUGGUAAAUGUGUCACAUAAACAUGUUCACACAUACACGUUCACUGCUGUGUGAAGUGAGUUUAAGAUGGAGAUACACACAUCACAUUUUCAGGUUUCUGAAUUUUCAGUUUCAACACAAAAAGUGCCAGCCAAUCAGUGAAGAGAGGUGAUUCCAAAACAAAAGGGUUACACAAAACACACCAGCCGCCUAAAGGGGAAGCCUGCUGGCUAAAAAAAAAGAGACAGGCCACCACUCACGGUGAUGGAAAGUGAAGUAGUGAAGGACAAAUGUUGCAUUUGCUUGCAUGCGUGAGAUGCCAGAGGUAACAAAAGAACACAGCUUUCCAUGUGUGAUAUUUUGUCAAUCAGUUCUCGUUAUGAGGGAGCAGAAACCUGAGAGGUUCCUACAGAGAGGCAGGCAGACAGUCAGAAGAAGUACAGAGAAACAAGGCGAGGGUUUAGAAAUCAAAUGAGAUGAAUACAAUGGCACGGUGAGUUAGGGUAAGAUAGGUGAACGUGCACUUAAGUCACAAACACCACACCUUUCAGAAAGAUUUCUGCUCCUUUUUGGACAAGCACGUGAUUUUUAAUAAUCAUUUACAUCUCAGCUGUGAUACUGAAGCUAAUGUUGCCUUAAGCAACAUUAGUUAGCAAACAAACCAACAAGCCCAGUAAACUGGAACAAAUUCACUUAGAGGUUUUCUUGGGUUUGGAACUCUUUAGUAUAGGACCUGCUUCUGUUCCCUUCCUCCCUGGUUAUCAACCUGUCUGUAUGGCUGACUUAUCAAUUCAGUUCAGUUGCCUUUAUAUAGGGUUAUGGUUAUGUCUGAAGGCCUCCACUAUCAUGGUAUAGACAGCCUCAAUGACUACAGACCUAUAGCCCUCUGUAGUCAUGAAGUGCUUCGAGCAGAUAGUGUCUCAGCACGUCAGAGGCUGCUACCCCCCUCCCUUGACCUGCACCAGUUUGCUUACAGAGCAAAUCCACAUCGGAUGCCAUCACCAUCACCCUUCACAGAGCGCUGAGCCAUCUGGAGAAAAGGAAGAGCUACGUAAGGAUGCACUACACCUCAGCAUUCAACACCAUAAUGACAGACAUCAGCAUCCCCAAACUGGACCACCUUCAGAUCCCCUAUUGGAACCUGCACGAUGGUUGGGCUCAUCUCUGAUAUAGAUGAAACAGCGUACAGGGUGGAGGUCGAGAACCUGUCCACUGGUGCUCAGAAAAUAACCUGAAGCUGAACAUCCUUAAAACAAAAGAACUCCUAAUGGACUUCAGGAGGCACAGACAGGUCCACUCCCUCUUAUUAUAAAAGGAGAAUGGGUGGAAUCUGAGAAAGAAUAACCUGGACCAGAGGCUGCUGCUGGUCUUCCUCCACUCCUGAGUGGAGAGUGUGCUCUGGAUGUUUGGAAUGCAGGGGCCACUACUGAGAACAGAAAGGCUGCGCAGAGGGUAAUUAACACUGCCCAAAAAAUGAUUGGCUGCCCUGUCCGUCCCCCAUCGCCCAAUCCUUCCCUCCCACCCCUGGAAGAUCGGGUGAUAGUCUCUAGGGGUGGGAUAACCAGCACAGCUGACCCCUUGGACCCCGCUCAUCACCUGUUUGACCAGUUGCCCUCUGGUCAGUGCCUCAGGUCAAUCAGGUCCCACACCUCCAGACUCACAAACAGCUUCUUCCCCUGGGCCAUUCGGACUGUUAAAAAACUUUCUCCCCCGACACCCCACCCCCGCCCACCCACCCACCCACCUCACCAAUCUGAGCCAUGGUCUGAGUAACCCUCAUCACUCAGUCCACUCACACACCGACUCUAAUUCAGACUGUGAAUAUACAGACUAAAUGGUGAUAUUUAAACAGAUGGUGCAAAGACAAGUCUUUUCUUUGCACUACCUUCAAGCACUUUGCUCUCCAAUGUGUGCCUCUCUAUUGUUUUGUAUAUAUUCCUCUAGACUGUAUAUCUCUUCUGUUUGCUAUUUAUUCCUGAUGUCUUUACUAUUCAUAUGUUUUUUUCACUCCUGCACAGCUGGCAUACAGCAUCCAUAAUUUCGUUGUACAUGUACAAUACAAUAAAGGGCUAUUCUAUUCCA